AAGUGAAAUUUGUAGUUUAUAGGUGAUGUAAAAUUUUGAAGAAAAAUCUAAAAACUUGAGAGAUUUAGGUAUAAACCAGGAUUAGAUACCCUGUUAUACUAAAUCGAAAUAAAAUUCGCUUGAGUAGUAAACAGUUAUGAUCUUGAAACUUAAAGGAUUUGGCGGUAUCUAAGUCUGUUUAGAGGAACCUGUUCUGUAAUCGAUACACCACGAAGUAUCUUACUUUAUUUUGUUUUCAGUAUGUAUACCGCCAUUAUAAGCACUUUUUUAAAAAAUUUGCUAAAAUAGAAAUGAUAUUUAUAAUCUUAGGUCAAGGUGCAGCUUAUAGUAAAGUAGUUAUGGGUUACAAUAUAUUUUAUAUAAAAUGAAUAGAUAUUUGAAACGGUAUCUGGAAAGUGGAUUUAAUUGUAUGCUUAUUUUAUUAAGAAAAGUUGAUAAGAGCUCUUAGAUAUGUACAUAUUGCCCGUCGCUCUCGUUUUUUAAAAU
rnacentral:rRNA from 1 species